rnacentral:rRNA from 1 species
GUGCCAGCAGCCGCGGUAAUACGUAGGUGGCAAGCGUUAUCCGGAAUUAUUGGGCGUAAAGCGCGCGUAGGCGGUUUUUUAAGUCUGAUGUGAAAGCCCACGGCUCAACCGUGGAGGGUCAUUGGAAACUGUAAAACUUGAGUGCAGAAGAGGAAAGUGGAAUUCCAUGUGUAGCGGUGAAAUGCGCAGAGAUAUGGAGGAACACCAGUGGCGAAGGCGACUUUCUGGUCUGUAACUGACGCUGAUGUGCGAAAGCGUGGGGAUCAAACAGGAUUA